GAUUUGUCCAAAGUUUCUAUUAAUCCAUCCUAGCAGCAGAGCCAAGUGUUAGAGUUAUUGCUGCCUGAGUUAUAACAGCUGCCCUGGGAAUCUUGUCUGAACAACAAGUUAACUGCUGUUCCCAGUUAUAUCUGGUCUUUCCCACCCCCAAACAUACACAAAAGAUUUUUGUCAUUCUUGGCACUGGACAACAGAAGUGAUAAGACAUGCCAGCAGAACUCUAAAGGCAGAAUGUCCUUCCACCUGUUUUAUGCUGUAAGACAAACUUCCAAGUGCGAGGCAGUGUGGAGGGCUGUUUCCUUGAAUGGCAGCUGAAUGCACCGGCGGGAUCCUUGGCAGCAAUGCCCAGGCACUGAAGCCGGGCAUUCAGGAGAGCUAAAUGGAGAAAAGAAACUUGAGCAAACUGCUUCCUGGAACACUGAGAACCUGAAUGGGAAAUUAAGAAGAACCAGAUUCUUUCUAUUCUUCCACCAGCCAAGGUCAGAUUUCCAAACUUCUAUUGAUUCUAAUCUUUCCCAAACAGUGCUGUGGCAAUGUAUGAAAGUAAUAAAAAUAAUCCUUUUUCUGUUAAAAAAAAUUGCUGUUACUUGCUGUUUUGUUAUGCUUUUGCUGGAGAUUUUCCCACCCAUCUUAAAGCAGCAACUUCAGGAUGGGGGAAUCAAGCAAAACCAUGGUGAAGAGAUUCAUUUAAAGAGGACAAGUGAUUUAUUCUACAUCUCAGGAGACAGUUCCUUAAGGUGAUGAGCACAAAAGGAUCCAUCUUAUACAGUGCUUGCCAGCUUCCAUAAUACUACUCACCACGAUGUUGAAAUCACCUGUUCCAGAACCAGUCCUGUCCUUUGACAAGAAGGAUUUAAUUAUCAGUAGUGGUGGGGACUGGCUGGAGAGAGGAAAAACACUUCAAGGACUCUGCCACCUUUCGUAGAUGGAGAGUGCAAAGUUUGUACCAUGGAACUCCUUCUCUAACAGUUACUCUGUGGCAGUGCCUAUUUCAAACCUCCCUUAACUUCUGAUUGUAUAGAUGUUUGUUUCAUUUGUUCAUCUGUUUGUUCACUUAGUCAGAGAUGUUUUAAGCCUUAAGAGAAAUAGUGGACUAGAAAAUGCCUUGGAAAAGUACAAAGUUCAAUCCAAGUAAACUGUUUUUAAACUAGGAACUUAUGAAGCCUAAAAUAUAAAAUGUAUGUACAUGGAUAUGCUCUGAAGUGAGGUAGAGGGGUAGAAAUCAACAUUGUGAUAUUGUACUAUAGUUUUGCAAGAUGUUACCAUUGGGGGAAAAUGUUUGAAGGGUAUACAGGAUAUCUCUGCCUUAUUUCUUACAACUGCAUGUGAAUCUACAGUUAUCUCAAAAUAAAAAUUUAAUUAACAAUUGAU
rnacentral:lncRNA from 1 species